rnacentral:lncRNA from 12 species
UGCAAGAAGCGGACUCUGUGGAAAUCCCAGGCCUCCACUGUGGCUGCAGAUGUGACCAGGAAUCCGGGCCGUAGCUAAUGCAGAGCGAGCUGGCUUCCGUGCGCUCCGACGCGCCAGCGUGUGGGUGGCCCGGCCAGACCCGGGUAGGCCUCGCUGUGCGGGCGGCGAGGCCCGCGGAUGCCCCGCCACUUAGGGCGAGAAUCUAUGAUCAGUAAACAAACCCCAACGGCCCCUCUCCCCGGGCCUGCAUUCCCACGGCCCCCGUGGGUCCCCCACUCCUGCGGCUGCGGCCACUUGGCCCGGGUUCCCGGCUCCCCCAGGGCCCCGCCUGGAUGCAAACAAUCUGGCCUUUGAUGACAGGAAAGGAGUGGACUUUUAAUCUUGGUUCUGGGGGACGUCACCUCCCUCUUUGUGGAUCUGCAGUUGCUUUCAAAAUACUAGGAAUCUUGUUUUUUGUUUUUUGUUUUUUUUGUUUUUUUUUUUUUUUUUUUUUUUUACCUACAGGGUUAUUGUGUGCCAUAAUUAAUUUAGCCAAGGCUCUGAGAAAGCAGUAAAUGCUGAGUGGCCUUAUUAGUCCUCGUUUUGAAAAGCACUUUAACAUCCCCGGGCAGCAGGUCUGCUGAGAAGUGCUGCUUAGGCCGCCGCUGCCACCUUCCUCCUCCUCCGCGGCUUCUCACGGCUCUGCAGCCCGUCUGAUGAAUAUGCACCAGCUCCAAGUGAAUCGCAGAAAAACUGGGCAGGGAGGUGAAGCUUAUCUUUAGAGUAGACCAAUUCCAGUUUUGAAUGAAGGGAAAAGAAGAAAUAAUUUCCUGGACAGCUGGAACGCGUUUCCCUUUGCACCCAAACCCUGAACAUUGCUGGCCGGGAGGCCGGGGGGCUCCCUGGGGGCACUGCGGGCACCCCAGGGCUGAUGGCUCCCGACCUCGGGCCUCCCCACUGUGCCCUCACCGACGUCACCUGACACGGGAAUCAUUUACUCUAAAAUGCAGACAAGAAGCACAUCUGUGACGCACCUCCUUGGCCCCAGCCGUUUCCAGGCUCCAUGCUCUUCUGCAGCUGGCACAGCUGUGCACAAGCGCUGUCGGUGGGGGCGUCUCCUCACCUGGCCUCCUCAGCAGGAAACCUCUUCUCCUGUCUUGGCCUGACACGAGCUACCCAUCCUUCAAGGUUCCGCUCAGGCCCGUCUUCCCCUUUUUGAAAACUUUCCCAGAGAUACUGAGUCAGGUCCUGGUGGGUCACUUCAUAGCCGUGGGGCCCUGGGUUGACUGGUGGAAGUCCUCUAGUUCUCAUUUUCCUAACAGGGAAAAUGAGGAAUUCUUGUUAAGAUCAAAAGGUUGAAUAAAUGCGGAGGCACUGUUAUUUUUACA